rnacentral:rRNA from 1 species
GACGAACGCUGGCGGCGUGCUUAACACAUGCAAGUCGAACGGAAAGGCCCUGCUUUUGUGGGGUGCUCGAGUGGCGAACGGGUGAGUAACACGUGAGUAACCUGCCCUUAACUUUGGGAUAACUUCAGGAAACUGGGGCUAAUACCGGAUAGGAGCUCCUGCUGCAUGGUGGGGGUUGGAAAGUUUCGGCGGUUGGGGAUGGACUCGCGGCUUAUCAGCUUGUUGGUGGGGUAGUGGCUUACCAAGGCUUUGACGGGUAGCCGGCCUGAGAGGGUGACCGGCCACAUGGGGACUGAGAUACGGCCCAGACUCCUACGGGAGGCAGGAGUGGGGAAUAUUGCACAAUGGGCGGAAGCCUGAUGCAGCAACGCCGCGUGCGGGAUGACGGCCUUCGGGUUGUAAACCGCUUUCGCCUGUGACGAAGCGUGAGUGACGGUAAUGGGGAAAGAAGCACCGGCUAACUACGU